rnacentral:rRNA from 1 species
CUCGGCAACGGAUAUCUCGGCUCUCGCAUCGAUGAAGAACGUAGCAAAUGCGAUACUUGGUGUGAAUUGCAGAAUCCCGUGAACCAUCGAGUCUUUGAACGCAAGUUGCGCCCGGACGCCAUUCGGCUGAGGCGACGUCUGCCUGGGUGUCGACGC